rnacentral:lncRNA from 1 species
CCCCUAGAUGCCCCCUUACCCAACCCGUCUGCCUCCCUGCCAACAGAGAAAAGAAGACCUGCUUUGCAAGGACGAUUUUAACACAACAAUAUCAAGCUUGACAGAUAAAAAAGGCUGUUAAAAGUUUCCUUUCCAACAGUUUCCAAGAUCACAACUUAACUAAUCCAGAUACAUUGCCUCCUCACUUGGGAUGCUGGGAGAUGCCAGGCUCUUUCAAGUGCUGCUUAAAAGAGGAGUGACUUGUACUAAGCAGCGAGAUAAAUCCAUCCCAGCUUUCUACAUUGUGCUAGUCAAUAACCUCACAUGCUUUUCCCCUUUCCAGAUGAAAGCCCUCAUAUUCUACUUGGUCUUGACUUCAAAAUUUACAUAAAACAAUUGGUUAGCUGAAUCCUCUCUUUUUCCUAGCUUUUCUCCCAUUCAUAGACCCUUUUCACAAUGCUCCCAUGUCUUCCAUAAUGUAUUGAUCAGAUGACCAUCUUUCUACAAAUAUGUCUUUUCUUUAGAGAUCUUAUUCAAAUGAAAUUGAUAAAAACGCUACAAAUUAUCUUGAUGAAUAAACAUCAACUCCCCCCACUCAACAAGAAGGUUGAAAAAACUUUCCUAAACAACAAUGUACCAGCGGCUAACCAAAAUUUAAAAAGUUUAAUUUUAUUGAUCUCAAACUUAAAUGAUUACAAUGAUUACAAUUAGGGCCUAUUUAUAGAUGAAGACCAUAAGAAUUACAAUAAAAAUCAAAUUCUAAAAUUUAAGAAACUUAUCUUGAAUUCCUAUCUAAGACUUUAAAGAAAAUAAUAAAAUAAAAAUUUGUAAAUUAACAUAAAUUAUGACUCUUCUCUCUUGAAUGGAUGUUGGAAUCUUCUCCACUCAAGUUAGGGAGUAUAUGUUGUUCAUCUCUAACUUGUCAAUAAAAGUUUGGAGUGUUGAAUUAUUUAUACAUUUAGUUAAGACAUCUACCAAUUGAGAAUUGAUAGACAUGUAUUGAGUACAUAUUAGCUCGUUGUUAAGUUUUCUUUUUAUGAAAUAUCUGUGGAUCUCAAUGUGUUUGGUCCAUUUGUGUUGUACCAGAUUGUGAACGAUGUUUAUGGUGGGCUUGUCACAAUAAGUUUUCCCAAUUGAUUAUAAGAUCGUCCAAAAUUUUCUCUAUCCAUAAUAGUUCAUAUACCCCUUGCAUCAUUAUCCGGAACUUUAAUUCUGCACUUGAUCUUUCAACUUCAUUUUAUUUAUUACUUUUCUAGGCGAUUAACUUACCUACAAGGAAUAUACAGUAACCUGUAAUAAAUCUUCUGUUUACAAUUGAUCCUACAGAAUCUGCAUCAAUAUAGACUUCUAAGAGCAAUUUUUCAUUUUUCUUAAAUAUAAUUUUUUUUUUCUAGAUGACUUUUUUAAGUAUUGCAGUAUUCUGUAGGUUACUUGUAAGUACACUUCUUUCGGAUUAUACAAAAAUUGGAUUUUAAUACUUAUUUCAUAUAUCAUGUCUGAUCUCUUGUGGUAAAUUAAUUUCUCAACUAAUCUCUAAUACAUUUCCUUGUUUAUUAGUGUAUCUUCUUCCAUUAUUCCUAAUUUAUUAUGAGGAUCAAUAAGAGUGCUAACACCUUUGCAUGCUAGCUUGCUAGUGAUUUUUAGUAUAUCAUAAAUAUAUUUCUGUUGAGAAUUAAAAAUUUUAGUUUUAGAGCAGGUAACUUCAACUCCUAAAAAUAUAUUUCAGUUUGUCUAAUUCCUUAAAUUCAAAUUCUUUUGCUAAAAUUAUCUUAGCAUGCAUUGUUCUUUUUCAUCAUUCUCCGUUAUGACAAUGUCAUCAACGUAUAGUAUGAGACCUGUAACCCCCCCUGACUCUAAGUGUUUGAUUAACAGAGUAUGAUCUCCCUAAGUCAGUUUAAAUCCUAGGUCUAGCAUUACCCUUACAAACAUGUCAAACCAUGUUCUUGGCAAUUGCUUGGUCCAUACAGAGCAUAUUCUUUAGCUUAUAUAUCUUAUUUGGUUGUCAAAGCUUGGUGGAAUAUCUAUGUAGAUUUCUUCUUAUAAAUCUCCAUGCAAGAAGACAUUUUUUAUAUCAAACUAUCCUAACUACCAAUCAAAAUAAGCAACUAAUGACAAGAAGAUUUGCACAGUUAGUCUUAGUUAUCGAUGCGAAUUUCUCCUAAUAGUUUAUUCCAUAUGUCUAUAUAUAUCUUUUACCACCAGUUUCACUUUAUAUCUCUCAAUUGUCCCAUCUGCAUUAUAUUUGAUUGAGAAAAUUCGUUUGCAUCCCAAUAGUUUCUUACCUUUGGGUAGAUCCACUAUUUCCCAAUUAUAGUUCUUUUCAAGUGCCUGUAUUUCUAUACUCAUAACAUACUUUUUUCAUUUUUUGCAGGAUACUAUAUUACGAAUAUACUCAUUAUUUAAACUUAUGAGAAAAGUUUUAUGGGUUUAUGAACACUUAUUAAAUUACACAAAUUUGAUAUAGGAUACAAAAGGGUGUUUAAUGCAUUCUCUUGUACCUUUAUGAAGUGCACUAUCAUUAUCAGAUAACUGUACAAGUUUUUUUGCUAUUUACCUAAGUUCCAAUAUCAAGGUUGGAUUCUUGAACCGGUUUUGACUUAGUGCUCAGUAUCUUCCUCUUUAUAUUUACCUAAGAAAACCUAGAAUUUAAUAUGAUCUCUUGAAAGGAUGGAUUUUUGAAAGUUUUCUUGUAGUAGUGAGUUUUCUGGUGGGUUGGGAACAUUCUCUUAUGGUCAUAGUCUUUAAGUGUGUGGCAAAAAUGGUAGACUAAAAUCCAUUAAGAAUUAUGUAUGUUUAUCUUCCAACAUAGCCUCCACCUGAAGAUAAGAUUUGGUGAAAUAAAAUUUUUAUUCAACACAUAUGACAUCCGCAAAUACAUAAAAUUUUAGAUGGUUAGAUGAUAAUAUUUGUACUCCUUUGUAGGAGUACUCCAUAAAUACACAUUUUAUAAUCCUCGAGGAUCAAAUUUUCCUCUUUGGUGAGAAUGAAAAUGUAGAAAAGCAACACAUCCAAAUAACCAAUGGACAAGAUGGAUUAUGAUAUUUAUUGCUAAGUGAAACUGUUAAAGUGUUUCGAGAGAACUUUUAAACUCAAGAACACUUAUAUACAGAUGAUUAAUAACGCAGGUAGCAGUAAGGACAGUUUUGCUCCAAUAUUAUUUUAGAACAUUAUUUUAGAAAAGAAAAGUUAUAGUAGUGGUUAAGAGGUGAUUAUUCUUACAUUCUACUAUUCGAUUAUAUUGUGAAGUAUGGACGCAUGAUGAUUCAUAAAGAAUUCUUUCCUGAUAGAAGAAUGAGAAAAUGCAUAGUCAAAAAAAAUUUUAGUAUUGUUGGUAAAAGAUUUUUUAUGAGUGAUCCAAAUUGAGUUUUUAUUAUAUUGCAGAACUAGGAUAAUAUGACUAAUAUUAUAUUUGGUUUUUUUAUAAAAACAAUUAGGUGAUUCUAAGUCAAUCGUCAACAAAUGACACAAACCAUCGAGUCCAAAAAAUAUUAUGUUUGUGAGUUGAUUCAAAAAUAUCAAUGUAAAUUUAAUAAAGACGAAACUAAACUUCAUUUAUUACUAAUAGGAAAUAUCACACACUCAUACUUUUACAAACUCACAGUUAAUAACGCAGGUGGCAGUAAGGACAAUUUUGCUCCAAUAUUAUUUUAGAAAAGAAAAGUUAUGGUAGUGGUUAAGAGGUGAUUAUUCUUAAAUUCUACUAUUCGAUUAUAUUGUGAAGUAUGGACGCAUGAUGAUUCAUAAAGAAUUCUGUCCUGAUAGAAGAAUGAGAAAAUGCGUGAUCAAAAAAAUUUUUAGAUUGUUGGUAAAAGUUUUUUCAUGAGUGAUCCAAAUUGAGUUUUUAUUAUAUUGCAGAACUAGGAUAAUAUGACUAAUAUUAUAUUUGGUUUUUUUAUAAAAACAAUUAGGUAAUUUUAAGGCAAUCGUCAACAAAUGACACAAACCAUCGAGUCCAAAAGAUAUUAGGUUUGUGAGUUGGUUCAAAAAUAUCAAUGUAAAUUUAAUAAAGACGAAACUAAAUUUCAUUUAUUACUAAUAAAAUAUCACACGCUCAUACUUUUACAAACUCACAGUUAAUAACGCAGGUGGCAGUAAGGACAAUUUUGCUCUAACAUUAUUUUAGAACAUUAUUUUAGAAAAAAAAAGUUAUGGUAGUGGUUAAGAGGUGAUUAUUCUUACAUUCUACUAUUCGAUUAUAUUGUGAAGUAUGGACGUAUAAUGAUUCAUAAAAAAUUCUUUCCUGAUAGAAGAAUGAGAAAAUGCGUGAUCAAAAAAAAUUUUAGCAUUGUUGGUAAAAUAUUUUUUAUGAGUGAUCCAAAUUGAGUUUUUAUUAUAUUGUAGAACUAGGAUAUAUGACUAAUAUCAUAUUUAGUUUUUUUAUAAGAAGAAUUAGGUGAUUCUAAAGCAAUCGUCAACAAAUGACACAAACCAUCGAACCUAAAAAAUAUUAGGUGUGUGAGUUGGUUCAAAAAUAUCAAUGUGAAUUUAAUAAAGACGAAACUAAAUUUCAUUUAUUACUAAUAAGAAAUAUCACACGCUCAUAUUUUUACAAACUCAGUUAUCAUAGUAUAAAUUUUCAUAUUCUGAAUUUUUAAAUAAUGAAGAAAACAUAUCCUUUAAAAUAGAAAAAGACAGAUGCCCAAACCUUUUAUAGUGAAGUUAAAUCUUGUGUGAGGAGUUGGUAGCAAUAGCAAAGAAGGAUCCCCAAGUACAUCUAAGUAGUAUAGUUCAUUUAUAUAUUCAUCACAUCUAAUUAUCUUCUCCAAAUUUUGAUUUUAAAAGUUACAACGACAAUAGUUAAAUAGUACUUUGCAGUUGAAGUCUUGUAAUAAUUUUUUGACAAAAAAAACUAGUACACAAUUGGGAGAUAUAUAAUACACUUUGCCUGCAAUAGUAUUGAAGGAAUCAUCUACAAUGACAAAUUUUUAUAAUAGGUACCUGGAGGACAUGUAUGAAAAUAUUUAGAAGUAUUGGUCAUAUUAUCUGUGAUUUCUGAGUCUAUAGUUUGAGAAUUUUUAAAGGAUUUCUCCGAGGCACUUAGUUCAUGUAAGGUAAAAGCCGUACCUGAGUGUGCCAUAUUUGUUUGAUGAGAAAUGAAAAAAGAAAAAAAACAAAGAUACUAUUGGAACCAUUUGUAUCCCUUAUUCAUAGAAAAGGAGAGGUUGAUGUAUUUUUUUUGAAUCUGUCGGGACUGACUGCAGCUUCCCCUUGGCAGGACAGUGCUCUGACCAAUUGAACUACAAUCCCAGGAAAAUAAAGUGUACGACAUAUAUUUUUAUAAUUUCAUUUAAAUCAUUUCUAUUUUGAUUUUAUAUUAGAAUUCCCAUGUUGUACCAAACAGAGGCGUGACUGAUAAAUUAGUACAUACUUGUUUCUUAAAGGACUCAAAACUUGGUCUUUCAAUCUCCAAUUUGAAUUUACUAAGAUAUGAUGUUGCUAUGUUGGGAUUUACUCUAGUAACUUAGGAUUUUACCUCCGAAUCUUUUAAAAAAGAAUUAUUGGAAGAAUCUUAUCUCCACAUGUGGCUGCAUGAGGAGGGAAUCUGCAGGUUGCAACUAACUAAGCUGUGCACUGACUCAUUGAGUCAUAUCCCUGAAUCAACUUGGAAUAGGAACUCACAAAAUCAACUCAAUGAGUCAACUCAGCGUGUAGCAGGAGCGGCGGACCGUUUGUUUGUGCCUGCUAUUCGUCGCAUCCAUUAAUGCGGCUCAUCUAGUCACUUUAAAGCUCCUAGCCAAAAGCAGCCGGUAAUGGAGCUCUCGUUCAGAGGAAGUCACUUGCAUCUAGUCGCGAUGAAGGCGACCAAGAGAACUUUGUGCCAAUGGUGGAGAGUUGCACAUUGCUGGGGAUCGUGUCUGCUGCAUGGCUGAUGGAGCUGUGUGCGUUACGUUUGUGCAAUCGAGAGAGA